rnacentral:ncRNA from 2 species
UAUCGAUUGCAGGGGAACCUUAUUGGUUGAGAAGGUUAAAACCUGACCCUUUGAACCUGUUUGUUAAUACAAGCGUAGGAAGCAAUUAACCAAAAGAU